rnacentral:rRNA from 1 species
UUCGAUUAAGCCAUGCGAGUCGAGAGUCUUAGGGACUCGGCGUACCGCUCAGUAACACGUGGGUAACCUGCCCUAUGCUGGGGAAUAACCUCGGGAAACUGAGAAUAAUGCCCCAUAGUCCACCAUGCCUGGAACGGUUGGUGGAUCAAAGCUCCGGCGGCAUAGGAUGGGCCUGCGGCGUAUCAGGUUGUAGGGGGUGUAAUGUACCCUCUAGCCAUCAACGCGUACGGGUGUUGGGAGACAUAGCCCGGAGAUGGAUUCUGAGACACGAAUCCAGACCCUACGGGGUGCAGCAGGCGCGAAAACUUGGCAAUGCGAGCAAUCGUGACCAGGGAACUCCAAGUGGCUGGGGUAAGACCCAGUCUUUUCUUGACUCUUCAACGGUCUUGGAAUAAGGGGUGGGUAAGGACGGUGCCAGCCGCCGCGGUAAUACCGGCGCCUCAAGUGGUAGUCGAUUUUAUUGGGCCUAAAACGUCCGUAGCCUGUUUGGUACAUUCGUGGGUAAAUCAACCAGCUCAACUGAUUGAAUUCUGCGAGCACGGCCAGACUUGGGACCGGGAGAGGUGUGGGGUACGCUCAGGGUAGGGGUAAAAUCCUGUCAUCCUGAGCGGACCACCUGUUGCGAAGGCGCCACACUAGAACGGAUCCGACGGUCAGGGACGAAGCCUAGGGGCACGAACCGGAUUAGAUACCCGGGUAGUCCUAGGUGUAAACGCUGUGGACUUGGCGUUGGGGAUUCUCCGAGGAUUCUCAGUGCCGAAGCGAAGGUGAUAAGUCCACUGCCUGGGGAGUACGGUCGCAAGGCUGAAACUUAAAGGAAUUGGCGGGGGAGCACCGCAACCUGAGGAUUGUGCG